AGUAACAUCCGGAAACGGGUGCUAAUACCGCAUAGUUUUCUUGAUUGCAUGAUUGAGAAAGGAAAGACGGCCUUUGUGCUGUCGCUUAUGGAUGGACCCGCGGCGUAUUAGUUAGUUGGUGAGGUAACGGCUCACCAAGACGAUGAUACGUAGCCGACCUGAGAGGGUGAUCGGCCACAUUGGGACUGAGACACGGCCCAAACUCCGUACGGGAGGCAGCAGGUAGGGAAUCUUCCGCAAUGGACGAAGUCUGACGGAGCAACGCCGCGUGAGUGAAGGUAAAGGUUUUCGGAUCGUAAAACUCUGUUGUCAGAGAAGAACAAGUUGGAGAGUAACUGCUCCAGCCUUGACGGUAUCUGACCAGAAAGCCACGGCUAACUACGUGCCAGCAGCCGC
rnacentral:rRNA from 1 species